GGGGUCGCGUCCUAUCAGCUUGUUGGCGGGGUGAUGGCCCACCAAGGCGUUGACGGGUAGCCGGCCUGAGAGGGUGACCGGCCACAUUGGGACUGAGAUACGGCCCAGACUCCUACGGGAGGCAGCAGUGGGGAAUAUUGCACAAUGGGCGCAAGCCUGAUGCAGCGACGCCGCGUGCGGGAUGGAGGCCUUCGGGUUGUAAACCGCUUUUGUUCAAGGGCAAGGCACGGUUUCGGCCGUGUUGAGUGGAUUGUUCGAAUAAGCACCGGCUAACUACGUGCCAGCAGCCGCGGUAAUACGUAGGGUGCGAGCGUUAUCCGGAUUUAUUGGGCGUAAAGGGCUCGUAGGCGGUUCGUCGCGUCCGGUGUGAAAGUCCAUCGCCUAACGGUGGAUCUGCGCCGGGUACGGGCGGGCUGGAGUGCGGUAGGGGAGACUGGAAUUCCCGGUGUUAACGGUG
rnacentral:rRNA from 1 species